AUGGAGUGCCUCCUCUCUGCUGGGCUCUGGGCGUGCGGGGAAUUCCGUUGCACAAGGCAGGUUUCCUCACUCACCCUCUGGAUCGUCUUCCUGACUAUUUACCCAACAAGUAUUGAUGGAGUGCCUGCAGUAUAUACCGGGCUCUGCGCUGGGAAAACCCGAAGAACCGGACAGCUUAGGUGCCACUCAUCAUGGAGCGUCCGCGGGACUUUCUGUUCGUGCGUAACUGCUUUGCAGAACGCUGGUGGUACGAACACACACUUUUGGUCUCUACCCUCGAGCAGAGGGCAGUGGAAACUUACCCACAGAAACAAAAGGAGUCUUUGAUCUUCACUACAUCUCAGCUUUUCAGGAGCCAUUUGAGCUUGAGGUCAAGAAGGAAGAGCUAAUCCUUUUGUCUUCUGACUUGGUUGGAAUAAUCAUCUCUUACUACGUAACUGAGUACCCCAAAACCUUGUGGCUUAAGGAAGAAUAAAUGUUUGUUAUUUCCGGCA
rnacentral:lncRNA from 1 species